GGAUUAGAUACCCUGGUAGUCCACGCCGUAAACGAUGGGCACUAGGUGUUGGGUCGACCUUCGGGUCGGUUCGGUGCCGCAGCUAACGCAUUAAGUGCCCCGCCUGGGGAGUACGCUCGCAAGGGUGAAACUCAAAGGAAUUGACGGGGGCCCGCACAAGCGGUGGAGCAUGUGGUUUAAUUCGAUGCAACGCGAAGAACCUUACCGGGGCUUGAACUGUAGAGUAAACCCUGUGAAAGCAGGACUGUCUUCGGACAACUCUAUAGAGGUGCUGCAUGGCUGUCGUCAGCUCGUGUUG
rnacentral:rRNA from 1 species